rnacentral:rRNA from 1 species
GUCCACACCCUAAACGUUGGGCGCUGGGUUUGCGGGGUAUCGACCCCCUGCGAGCCGAAGCUAACGCGUUAAGCGCCCCGCCUGGGGACUACGGCCGCAAGGCUAAAACUCAAAGGAAUUGACGGGGGCCCGCACAAGCAGCGGAGCGUGUGGUUUAAUUCGAUGCAAAACGAAGAACCUUACCUGGGCUUGACAUGCAAGUAGUACUGAACCGAAAGGCGAGGGACCCGCAAGGGAGCUUGCACAGGUGCUGCAUGGUUGUCGU